rnacentral:rRNA from 1 species
GACGAACGCUGGCGGCACGCUUAACACAUGCAAGUCGAACGGAGAACUUUUGGUUUACUGAGAGUUCUUAGUGGCGGACGGGUGAGUAACACGUGAGCAACCUCCCUUGAAGAGAGGGAUAGCUUCUGGAAACGGAUGGUAAUACCUCAUAACAUAGUUGGGAGGCAUCUUCUGACUAUCAAAGAUUUAUCACUUUGAGAUGGGCUCGCGUCUGAUUAGAUAGUUGGUGAGGUAACGGCUCACCAAGUCGACGAUCAGUAGCCGGACUGAGAGGUUGAACGGCCACAUUGGGACUGAGACACGGCCCAGACUCCUACGGGAGGCAGCAGUGGGGAAUAUUGCACAAUGGGGGAAACCCUGAUGCAGCGAUGCCGCGUGGAGGAAGAAGGUUUUCGGAUUGUAAACUCCUGUCUUAAAGGACGAUAAUGAC